UAACCAUCCCGAGCGGCCGAGAGACCUGGAUCGACGACGCCGCAGCAACCCUCCCCGUGUAGCAACGGGGAACGGUGCUACUGCCAGGACCGAUGGAGA
rnacentral:ncRNA from 2 species